AGUGAACGCUGGCGGCGUGCCUAAUACAUGCAAGUCGAACGAUGAAGUCCUAGCUUGCUCGGAUGGAUUAGUGGCGCACGGGUGAGUAAUAUAUAGUUAAUCUGCCCUACACAGAGGAACAACAGUUGGAAACGACUGCUAAUACCUCAUACUCCUAUUUGACAUAAGUUAAAUAGGGAAAGUCUUUUCGGUGUAGGAUGAGACUAUAUCGUAUCAGCUAGUUGGUAAGGUAAUGGCUUACCAAGGCUAUGACGCGUAACUGGUCUGAGAGGAUGAUCAGUCACAUUGGAACUGAGACACGGUCCAAACUCCUACGGGAGGCAGCAGUAAGGAAUAGUGCGCAAUGGGGGAAACCCUGACGCAGCAACGCCGCGUGGAGGAUGACACUUUUCGGAGCGUAAACUCCUUUUAUCAGGAAAGAAUAAUGACGGUACCUGAUGAAUAAGCACCGGCUAACUCCGUG
rnacentral:rRNA from 1 species